rnacentral:rRNA from 1 species
UACAUGGGGUGCAAACGUUGCUCGGAAUCAUUGGGCGUAAAGCGCGCGUAGGCGGUUACUUAAGUCGGAUGUGAAAGCCCUCGGCUUAACCGAGGAAGUGCAUCCGAAACUGAGUAGCUAGAGUACUAAAGAGGGUCGCGGAAUUCCCGGUGUAGAGGUGAAAUUCGUAGAUAUCUGGAGGAACACCGGUGGCGAAGGCGGCAUCCUGGACCGGUAUUGACGCUGAGGCGCGAAAGCGUGGGGAGCAAACAGG